rnacentral:lncRNA from 1 species
CGUUUGACGACGAUGUAACGCUUUGGUUAAUAAACAACACUUUCGAAGAUGAUUUUGCAACGCUUUUGAACGUUAGCUAAUUCAAAUUAGCAGAGUGUUUUAUUUAUUUGUUUAGCUAACGCAUCAUAAAGAUUUAAAACAAUGUAGAAUGGGAAAACGGGUAUAUUUGUUUUGCUAUGAAGCGUCUGGUGCUAGCUAGCUAGCUUAUCACAACAACUGGAUGGCCUUUGUUUUUCAUGGGUGUUUUUCAGCCAGUGCUGACCAGCGAACUAGUCUUUUCGCCUGUCAACAUCCCUGGAUUUUCUAAAGAUGAAGAGAAAAGUGGCUCGAUUACGGUUAAGUCCAAAUGAAGAAGCGCAACUCAUUCGAGAUGAACACGAAAGGAGAAGGAAGCUGUGAAUAGAACAGGUGCGGGAACAGGAGCGGUAUAUCGCCCUGCAAAUCCGCACGGAGGUGCGGCAGCGACGGGAGCGCGAGCUGCAGAACCUGGCGCAGGAGUUGAAGGAGGAGUGGGAGCGACAACAGAGGGAGAAACAGGAGACCCUGCAAAAGUUAUAUCAGGACAAUCUCCGAGUUUUGGGAGAGGGACAUAGAAGUGCCAAAGAAAAUAAGCCUGACUGUGAGGCAAUUGCACAGAGAAAUUAGGGGAAUAACGUUCGGCAGAUGAGCGCUAUCGAGACGCCAUCAAACAGCUCAAAUCACAGAGACAGAAAGGAGGAGGAGCAAAAUCGUUUUAUUGAGGCUAGGAAGAAGGCCAUACAAGUGGAGAAGGAGAGGGCAGCAACUGUGGCCAACCUCCCAUCCCUUCCACCCAACCCAAUUGAGAAUAUUGAGUCAAGGAAGCUACCUGGAGUGAAGAAAUCGGACAGAGAUGCCUUCUCUGUGACCCACUAUCACAUGCCAGAGACUGCAGUGGACAGGGAAGUUGACAGUACAGCCAAAGGCAUGGGAGGUGGCAGAGGAGGAGGUGCGGCGCCUGCAGGAGCUAGAACGGGAGGAGCAGAGGGAGAGACGGGAGCAGCUGGAGAAAGCUCGUCUUAGGGGCAACCACGCGCUGAGGAGGGAACGGCUCACACAGGACCGAGAGUGCCUCCUGGUGGAGCUGGAACACAUGCAUCAGACAGACCUGUUGAGGCGCAGGCAGAUGAUGGCUCAGAUGCCUGCCCAGAUCUUCUAGCUGCUCUACAAGAGACAGGAGAUGAGGGAGGACUGGCAGAGGGACAUGGAGUUCACCUUUGAGGACAUGUACACUGGAGAGAGUAGUAAGGGUGGGGGGUCCAAAUCAGGAUGAAUUUUUCCGUGCUCUGCUCUGGCCCCGAGUACACAAUUUGUUGGUAUUGCCCUGGUGCAUAGAUAAGUUGUUUUACUUGAUUGAAAUGGAGAGAUUUACCCUAUCCUAGACAGUAGUGUGGACACAUCGUUAUGAGACCUAAUUACCAUUAGUACAUUGGCAUGGAGUUUCUCUAUUCAUCUAAUUAAACCUGUACUGCUCUUUUGCCUGCAGGAGUGAAAGGUGACCUGGUGCUGCAGCUGGUCCCAGAGCCUCUCCCAGCUGUGUCCACUGGCAGCCAGGAUGAACACCUAGACCUGACCCUGGAGGAGGCCACUCCUGACCUUACACCCUCGGCUGGGGCAGAGGAACAACCGGAUGAAGAACCAUCCAGGCCUCUAGGUGGUGCUCCCAGACAGGCCUUGAAGAAGCUACUGACCCGUGUCAGGUCACAGAGAGACCAGUGGAGCUACCGGAGGCUGGUUGACCCCACAUCUGACUGCCAAACUAUUCAGACAGCAGAGCGCGACACGACCUCAGAUGGUACGACCAUUGAGUCAGGCUUUCUGGCCAGCGAAAAGCAGGGCUGACCGUUGACCACUAGUCCCAGACUCCCUGACCCCUCUCAGCCAGCACAAGCUAUAGAGACAAUAGAGGACUCCAUAGUAGCUGGUACCCUGCUCCAUCCUGAUAAACAAGCCAUCAAGAUCCACACAUUUAAACUGAGAGGAAGAGAAGGGAGGAGGAGCUAGAGAGGCAGGAGCAGAUUGCCCUGCUACAGGAUUUAGGGGAGAAGAAGAGCAAGCUGGAGCUACUGCAGGAGGCCCAGGAAGAGAGGGAGCAGCUGCAGACGGCCAUGACCCAAGACACUGCUGCUGCAUCUGGAACACUGAAAACACCAGCCCAGGACGUCAGCCCUGCUGCUCCAUCUCCUGAGUCUACUAUACACUCAGCUGCUGAGGAUGACCACCCCAGGAGAAUCAGAGAGUAUCAGCAGCGUCUCUUAGACCAGAACAGGCUUCAUAAGCAGUCAGUGGAAGAGUCUCACCGGCGUCUGGAAGAGUACCAACACACGCUAAGAAACCGCUAUUCUGGUGUAACUACGGCAACAUGUCUCCCUCCUGGUACCACAGCCCGUCCUCUACCACACUUUAAAGGAGGAAUCAUUCCCCCGGUAGUGCCACUAGAACUCCCCUCUGGCUCCCCUGUCUCCCUGUAGCACUUAGUACCCACUCUAGAGCUCACACCCCUCUGGACCUCUCCACACGGGAGCCCUCCAUCUUGGCUCAAACUCUCUUCCUUCCUGGCGCAACAGUCUGCUCGCAUAUCAACUCCAGGGCCUCACCAGUGCAGCUCGAACCCACCGCUUAAAGCCUAAGAGACCAAAGAGCAGGUGUUUCUGCUUGGCUGGCGGACAAUGUGUUUAGUAGGGUCACAGAGGACCUCCCUGAGAAGCUACCUGGCACCUCUACCUCGUUGGACCCCCAGUCCUACAGACCACAUCCUGUUUCCCUCCACUCUACUCCACGCAUCCCACUCCCAUCAACAGCUGACUCCAUCCCAGCCAUUAGCCCAACCCUUUGAGAAGAGUCAGCUACUCUCCCUGGGGAGGCCCCGGUGAAGCCUGGGCCUGUCCUGUGGGCCUCAGCCAGGUCUGGGGAAGAGGUGGAGAGGCAGAGGCAGGAGAUACGUGAGGCCCAGAGGGAGCAGAGGGAAGAACGGAGAUGGCUGGAGGAAGAGCAGAGGAGGAGACAGAGGGAGGUGUUAGACACUGCUCACUGCUGACGACACACAGCCUGGUUCAGAGAUCGCUGAUGGUUUGGGGUCAAAGGUCCUGGGGUCAGAGUGUGUCCAUCUGAUUGCAGCUCUGCUCAGGGCCAUCGGAGUCCAAUGGGCAAACAUCAUCAUCUGUAGAAGCUAAUCAGAGCCAAGACAACACACUCAAUGUCCAGAGUUCACACCCAGACAGACCCGCCCCUCACCAACUUCCCCAACCACCACCCCCGAGCAGCCAAACCCCUGGUGGCCUGCGCCAGGCUGGUCGUCAUGGUGAUGACAGAGCAGCAUGAGCUCAGGCCUGAUCACAGGUCCAGAAGUGAGUGUGAGGCUGUCUCGUAUUGAAAGGGCAUUUCCAGAAGAACAGGACCCCUUGGCCCACUCUGAGAGAGGUCACUCCAGCACCUCUGUGUUCAGUGCAGGGGAACACACAGCUGGGAGUGAGACAUUAACCAGGUCUGGUAGAUCCAGCAAGCUAUCCUGGAGAGAGAGAGAUUACAGCUGGAGGCUGGUGCCUCUCCUGAACCUGGUGGACUCCAAUCAAGUUGUAGAAACAUCACAAGGAUGUAAAUAAGUUUUGUCCAGUUGGAGAUCCUGUCCUUCCAGUCAGCCGGUAGACCCUCAGAACCAGACUACCUGUCUUCCACCACCAUCUCUUCUGGCAGCUUCGCCACCACUGACCCUGAACACACCUCCACCAAAAGUGUGUGUGUGUGUGACUUGUUUAUAAGCCUAAUCAAUUGAGUAUCUAUCCAGGCCAGUCAUGUCAGAAAUUCUAUGUGAUAAAUGAUAGUUGCAUUUAAAAUGGAGAAAUCUAAUCCUCUGUUUUAUUCCCCACCCCCAUAAGACUCUUCCCUGCUCUUGGCUGGGUUUAGAAGAGGGAAGAAAUCAUCGGUCAAUGGCUCCUCUUCAUGAAGACACAGUUCCUGUAGAGACGUAUCUGGUCCUGGGUCUCCCAUCUCAGACUCACUCCUACACAGCAGCAGUAUCCAGCGCAUCAUAGACAAAUACACCCGGGAGCUCAACCUCUCUCUCAGUUCUGCUGGGAACCAGAUGGGAGCUGAUGGGUCUAACUCCCUAGGCUGGGUGGAUCUGAGAGGCUCAGGCCAGACAGGAGUGUCAUCUGACCCAGAGGGAGCCCCUGAAGCCCAUUCAUUGAGCAGCUCCUUUCUCCCUGGACUGGAACUUCUGCCACACUACCAGUGCCUGCAACGCUCUGGCACCAGCUCCCAGGAAGCAGACAGGACUGGGGCCUCCGACUCCUUCCACCCCCUCCUGGCUGAAGUCACACACAACAAGACAGCUGAACCCUCCAUGACCUUUCACCUUCCAGAAGAGGAAGUGGAGGGGCUAUGUUCCCACGAAGAAGAAAGUGACCAUGAAGAACCUGCAGGGGACCUUGAACUCUCUGCAUGCUCAGUUGAGUUUGUGGACGACACUUGGUCUGUCACCUCUGACCCCCCCCCUCCUGAGUGCCUGAGAGGAGGGGAGGAACCACCUCAGCCCUCGCCCGCCCUGCACGACUCCUUGUACCAGCUGACCAUGUCCCAGUGCCUCCCUCAUAACUCUGCUCUGGAUGUAUCCCCAGGAGCAGAGGUGGGGGGGUCUGGCAGCAUGUUCCCUCUCUCUGUGAAGAUGUCCCCACUUUGGACAAGCCACUUGAAGGCGGGGACACUGAUAUGGAGAGCACACCAGCACCUCAGACAGUUGACCAAUGAGGUGCUAUUACCAUUAAGGACCUGGGUGCAGGAGAGCCGGAUGCCCAGCUAUGUUCAGAGUCAAAGAUCAGCCCUCCCAUCUGGGAGAGAAUAAUGGUGGGCAGUGUGAAGGGGAUAAUGGACGAUUCCAUGCUGACCCUGAUGAGCCUGACAGACACCACAUUAAAGGACCACGGACUCGCUGAGGAAGGAGAGAUGGAUGAGGUAUCAGACCAAUAAGGCAUUGUGGAAAAGGAAUCAGAGUGGACAGUGUUGCCAGAGGAGGACGCCAGCCUACAGGACAACCCCCUCUCAUGCAGUCGUGUCCCAGCGUGAAUCUACAGGAGGCCUUCCAGCAGAAACGCAGAGCCCUGAUCCAGAGGUCUGCCCGCAGGGUGGAGGAGAUUCAGGCCAAGACGUCUGAAGACAAAGCAAACACCAGGGCCCAGUCUGAAACCACUGAGACCAGGGCCAACACAACCACCAGGGCCCAGUCUGACCCAACCACUGUUCAGUCAUCCACUACUAAACCCAGGAGGGAGGGGAGGAGUGCAGAGUCAACCCAUGCAGGAGUGGAUUCCAAGCAGAAAAAGCAACAGCCAAAGCUCCAAACUCCCUUGCAGCCUCCCAUGCUAGCCAAGCUGAAGAAGGUUGGGGAGGUGAGGAUCAGCACUCCUGAGAUGAGGAUACAGGAUGUGGCUGACAUGCGCCAGAGAACAGAGAGGUUGUACAGCCGACUAGAUGAGGUAAAGCUUCAGGAGGAGGUCAGGAGCAGACAGGAGGCAUAUGCCAAAAACGGGAGAAGGCCAAAGAGUUUCACAAGAAGCUACGGGCCAAGCAGUCUCCGCAAUGAUACUGAAUAUCAGUUUUAUCUGUUGUCGUGUGUUCUGUGUUUGCACUUAUUUUGUACUUACAUGUGUUUUUGUACAGUUUAAUCAGUAAUGUAAAAUAUAUUUUACGAGUGUGUAUAUAAUCUGCGUUCAGUCUAUUCAUCACAAUUUACUGUGUUCACACAACAAAGGCAGCCAGUGCACUAUUGCACCUUGAAUGCUGGCGGUACACCCAUUGCAUUAUGAGAAUGUUAUGUUGCCUGUAAAAAUAUUUUAGUUUCAGGUUUUUAUAACCAAUAAAGUUGUUUGUUGCUGAUUUUGCCUAUCCUUAUAAGUUGUAUUAUGGGAGGCCACUUGACCUG